GCCAUCUGCGGGGCCAUCGUGGGAGCGCAGCAGGAUAUGCCCCGGAGCUGCCACUUGAGGCGCUCAGGUCUCCGGAGGUGUCAUGGAGGAACCUAGCUCCUGCCAUCCUCUUCCCCCAAUUUGCCACUUCCAGCAGCUUUAGCCUAUGAAGAGGAUGUGAAUGAGACUGAGUCAGGAGCUCCCCGGAAGCAUGGAGACCAUGGUGAUUGUUGCCAUAGGUGUGCUGUCCACUAUCUUUCUGGCUUCGUUUGCAGUCUUGGGGCUGGGUUGCAGGCAGCGCUACUACCAGCCCCGAGACCUGCUGCAGCGCUAUGAUUCUAAGCCCAUUAUGGACCUCAUCGGUGCCAUGGUGACCCAAUCUGAGCCCUCUGAGUUAGAACUGGAUGAUGUUGUUAUCACCAACCCCCACAUUGAGACCAUUCUGGAGAACAAAGACUGGAUCAAAGAUGCCUUAGGUCUCAUGUCCCACUGCAUUGCCAUCUUGAAGAUUUGUCACACUCUGACAGAGAAGCUUGUUGCCAUGACAAUGGGUUCUGGGGCCAAGAUGAAGACUUCAGCCAUUGUCAGCGACAUCAUUGUGGCGGCCAAGUGGAACAGCCCCAGGGUGGAUGAUGUUGUGAAGUUGAUGUACCCUCCAUUGGACCCCAAGCUCCUGGAUGCAGGGACGACUGCUCUGCUCCUGUCUUCUCAGUCAUCUGGUGCUGGUGACAAGGAAUGCCUGCCUGGACUGGAUUGACCAGUCACUGUCAGCUGCUGAGGAGCAUUUGAAAGUCCUUCGAGAAGCAGCCCUAGAUUUUGAGCCAGAUAAAGGCCUCCCAGGCCCGGAAGGCUUCCUGUAGGAGCAGUCUGCAAUUUAG